ensembl:rRNA 5S_rRNA 5S ribosomal RNA
UACCACCCUGAGAACGCCCGAUCUCGUCUGAUCUCGGAAGCUAAGCAGGGUCGGGCCUGGUUAGUACUUGGAUGGGAGACCGCCUGGGAAUACCAGGUG